CUGGAAUCCUGGAUUGUAUUAUUUUCAUCUUUAUUCCCCAAAGCACAGCAGCAAAGAAAAACUUCAAUAAUUAAGGGGAAAACAUACAAUAUGGGAAAUUGGAAAGGGAAGAGAAGAAUCCUCCAUAGCACACCAUAGGCCUGGGUGGCUGCAGACCAUCUAUGCUUUCUCUAGCAUAGUGUAAAUGAGGCAGAACACCUCCAAAGUGAACUAAAUAUAUUUACAAUAAUGUUUGACACAGCAAGUAGAGAGCUGGAAACUUUGCACCAGGCUCUGGAAGCAGCACGAACUGACAACAGUCGCCUCCAUCAGGAAAGUGAGUUAGUGGUUGCAAAUGUUAAUCAGUGGAUCAAAGAACAAAAAAUCUCCAAUCAACGCCAGUGAAAAGGGAAGCAACCCGCCUUGGUGUACUGCAGCAGCUCAGUGAGUCAGCAUUGAGCCUUCCAUUGUCUUUCUGACCACCACCCUGGAAAGACACUGAGUUUGCAAUGAAGACUGAACAGAAUAAGCAUUUUGCAAAGAGUGUUGCUUCAUGGGUCACAGCAGCACAGCCAAAUUUUGGUAAACCUCUGGUGCGAGGCCAGCAAAACAGUGGAUAUCAGUAACAGUACCAGGAAUGACCACGCAUACCAACAAAUAGUGAAGACUCUAUCAGCGUAACAAAUAUACUGGUCUGGUGACCAGUGCAGGGAGCGGAUUAAGCAUCUCACAACUGAGUACAGGAAAAUCAGAGACCAGAACUGUAGCUCAGGCAACUCUCUGAUAUUGUGCCCCAGUACUGCACUGAGAAUGAAGACAAUGGUGGUGUAUGAUGAUGUGUCAAGCCAGGAUGGCAUCCUGCUAGCCCCAGAAUCCAGUCUUGGGGUGAUGGGAGCCAGCAGCAGGUGCACAGUGAGGUCAGCAAAGUGAUUCUGUUGCUGAAAUCAUUCCCACAGGAGCAUCAGCAGCACAUCCUGGGCCAUACUUGGUGGAGCUGUUUGAUACCUGAUGAGGAAUAGCCCACCGUGGAACCUGCAGCAUAUAGGAUAGAAGCCACCCUGGAGCCUGAUCCCUCAGCCUCUACUGACUGCAGUAUCUCCACAGCACACUGCAAUACAAACCUAGACCAAAUAUACCUUCAUGGACCAUUCCAAGAUGGAGCUUUUGCAUGAUGAACUUAUGGUUGAAGAUCUGGACAGGGCCAACAAGCAGUCCAGUAUCAAAAACAGAAGGACUUAUGGCUAGAGAAAAGGCAUGGCAAGA